rnacentral:lncRNA from 1 species
CUGCCAAUGACUGGAACGAAUUGCAAAAUUGCUGAAGCUGGAGACUUAUAUUUCCCUCACUAACUUUAAACAUCAGCUAUCUGAGCAGCUAACCGAUCGCUGCAGCUGUACAUAGCCCAUCUGUAAAUAGCCCACCCAAUCUACCUACCUCAUCCCCAUAUUGUUUUAUUUACUUUUCUGCUCUUUUGCACACCAGUAUUGCUAUUUGUGUAUCACCAUCUGCUCAUCUAUCACCCCAGUGUUAAUUUGAUAAAUUGUUGUUUUGCACACACUGUAUAUAGACUUUUUUUUCUAUUGUGUUAUUGACUGUACGCUUGUUUAUUCCAUGUGUAACUCUGUUGUUAUUUGUGUCGCACUGCUCUGCUUUGCUUGUUCUCAACUAGCUUACGUGGUGAAAUAAUACAAAAUAAAUCUCCCUCCUACCUCCCUUGGUCUGCAGCCUCGACUCCCAUGGGAGAGUCAUGUGUUCCCGCUGUGUGAGCAUGAGGCUCUAAUGUGUCAUGAAGAGGAGCAGCAGGAGCCUCGCUGGGAGGAGAGAGAGAAGGAAGAUUCCACCAGCAGCACAGAUGACAGCUGCAGCUCUGUCCAGUCACCCCCAUUCUCAGCCCUGUCUUCAGCCCUGUCCAGUACAUCACCACCACCAGCUGGAGACGAUGAGAACAACACACUUACUGCAGUCACCUGAAACGACUUGGCUCUACCAUGGCACAGAUCCCUUCAGGAGUUUAGGAGACCCACAGGGACAGAGAUACAAGAGGAGGCCUGAACUCCCUGGAGUUUAGGAGACCCACAGGGACAGAGAUACAAGAGGAGGCCUGAACUCCCUGGAGUUUAGGAGACCCACAGGGACAGAGAUACAAGAGGAGGCCUGAACUCCCUGGAGUUUAGGAGACCCACAGGGACAGAGAUACAAGAGGAGGCCUGAACUCCCUGGAGUUUAGGAGACCCACAGGGACAGAGAUACAAGAGGAGGCCUGAACUCCCUGGAGUAGAUGUCACACGUUAUGUGUACCUCAUUUUAAUGUAUACUUGCUACAUUUCCUAAACACACUGAUAUUUUAUUUGGGUUCAAACGUUUUGGAGGAGGGUUUUUGAUUUCUUUAAAACAUUGAUUUGUUUUAUUCCUUUCAGUUCCUCUGCUGUAUUUUAAGGUUUUGGAUGGGAUUGUGUUGGAUAUUCAACAUGUACACAUUUAACGUUUUUACAUUUACCCUGACCUGCAUUCAUAUAAGAUCUGUGUACUAGUGUACAAUCGAUCGUAACCUUGGCUGACAAUGUACCAUAGAAUGUAAAUAGUUGUUGCCUGUUAUUUAUUUUACGUUUCAAGACGUCUGAUAAUGCAGUCUUAACAUAUACUUUUAUAUACACUACCAUUCAAAAGUUUGUGGUCACUUAGAAAUGUCCUUGUUUUUGAAAGAAAAGCAAAUUUUUUGUCCAUUUAAAAUAACAUCAAGUUGAUCAGAAAUACAGUGUAGACAUUGUUAAUGUUGUAAAUGACUAUUGUAGCUGGAAACAGCUGAUUUUUAAUAGAAUAUCUACAUAUGCCCAUUAUGAGCAACUAUCACUCCUUUGUUCCAAUGGCACGUUGUGUUAGCUAAUCCAAGGCUAAUUGAUCA